rnacentral:rRNA from 10 species
GUUAGCGCUGUUUUUUGAUUGCAGCUAGCGCGCUUGACUAAUAAGAUAGAAAGGGCCUUUCUCGCUUGUUU